GAAAUGCGAUAAGUAAUGUGAAUUGCAGAAUUCAGUGAAUCAUCGAAUCUUUGAACGCACAUUGCGCCCAUUAGUAUUCUAGUGGGCAUGCCUGUUCGAGCGUCAUUUCAACCCCUAAGCACAGCUUAUUGUUGGGCCUCUACGUUUCGUAGUGCCUCAAAGACAUUGGCGGAGUGGCAGUAGUCCUCUGAGCGUAGUAAUUCUUUAUCUCGCUUUUGUUAGGUGCUGCCCCCCCGGCCGUAAAACCCCCCAUUUUUUCUGGUUGACCUCGGAUCAGGUAGGAAUACCCGCUGAACUUAAGC
rnacentral:misc_RNA from 1 species